rnacentral:piRNA from 1 species
UGAGACUCUUCACAGGGUUUGAGGUCUAC